AGAGAUCUUACGUUUGUCCCUUCUCGUUCCUCAACAUGUUACAAGGGACGCUAAUGUUCCAGCAGAAAUUCGUGCCCAACAUACUUCCAUUUUGAGUAGCUCUGAUUAACGGAUUGAUGAGAAGCUGAGAACCAAGGUUUUCAUGUUAGAAAUUCUGCACAUCCUGUGCCAAAAUGUCUUCUCUUUACUUUCACAAAAAAGAAGUCUUAUAUUAAGGAAC
rnacentral:lncRNA from 1 species